CGCGGGGGCCGGGCGGGCUCCAAAGAAACAUUGGCGUUACGUCGUAGCGAUCUCGUAGUCUCUCAUUAGUCUGGUUUAGUCAUUCACGUGGAUCUUGCGGUCGCUGCGGUUGCGUGUGUGAUCGCGUGCUCGGAAAAUGAGCAAGAGGCGCUGCAAAAUCUGCUGUAGAAUACUGAUAUAGUUCUUUUUUUAGCACACGAAAAAUUUUCCGAGACAAUCUCCGAACGUCAACCGGCAAGGCGCUCCAAUCAAUUAAAUUAAACAUAUAACCUCCAUGUGAUCGAGCGACGAGAACGAGACUGAGCUUCCGCGGAAAGCGGAGCUUUUAUUAGCGAGUAGCGAUUAGUCCGUUGAAAGUCCUAGCUGCAAGAUGAAGUGUAAUUUGGAGAUAAUGUAUUUGACGCAGGAGCAUCUCACAGGCUUCGAAAAUUACAAGUAUAGUUCGCUGGAUACAAGUCCCCUCAGCAUUUAUGUUAUGCACCCAUUUUGGAAUAAAGUCGUUCAGUAUUGUCCAAAAUGGGUUGCCCCUAAUUUGUUGACAUUUCUGGGAUUCCUAUUUACUGUGGUGAAUUUUCUAAUGUUUGCAAGUUAUGAUCGCUACUUCUAUGCGUCUAGUGACGAUCAUCCAGAGUACCCACCGAUACCCAGAUGGGUUUUUGCAUUAGCUGCUUUCUUCAUAUUUAUGGCAUAUACCUUAGACGGCAUCGAUGGUAAACAAGCGAGACGUACGCAAACAUCAGGCCCGUUAGGUGAAUUAUUUGAUCAUGGUCUCGACAGCUGGACAGCAAUGUUAAUUACGGUCUGCAUGUAUUCUGUCUUCGGAAGGACGGAUCACAGUGUAUCACCUCUACGAAUGUACUUCAUACUGUGGAAUGUUUUUGUCAAUUUUUAUCUCAGCCAUUGGGAAAAGUACAACACUGGUGUUUUAUUUCUCCCUUGGGGCUACGAUGCAUCGAUGCUAGCAACGAUUCUAGUCUUUGUUCUGACAAGCAUCGGCGGACACGAAGCUUGGAAGUUCGAAUUGCCAGGUGGAAUUUCAGCGGGUAUCAUGUUCGAGAUGUUACUCUACGUCAGUGCCAUCGUAUCCAAUUUGCCAGUUGUACUGUGGAACAUAUACAAGUCAUACCGAGAUAAGACAGGUAAAAACAGAACGCUACCAGAGGCCGUGAGGCCUUUAGUGCCUUUGUUAGUACUCUUCACAAUCGCCACAGUCUGGGUCACGCAUUCACCAAACAAUGUUUUGGAAAAGGAUCCAAGGAUAAUCUACUUUGCGAUUGGAACAGUAUUCUCCAAUAUAUGCUGUCGACUGAUAGUGUCCCAAAUGAGUAACACCAGAUGCGAGAUACUACCCUGGAUACUGCUCCUGGUGGCUGGAGCGGCAGUUUUCUCCGUCAUCUUGCCCAGCUAUAAUGUGAAGACCAUGUACUUCGUCUCUGCUCUAGCCUUGGCAGCUCAUGUUCACUAUGGAACGUGUGUGGUUAGGCAGAUGUGCCGUCACUUCCGUAUCCAUACUUUCCGCAUACAGGAGCACUCCGAAUGACUGCUUGCCGACAGUGCAUGCUAAAAAGAAAAGAGGAGAGCAACCCAAAGAACGCAAAAUCUGACGCACGUUUGUUCGCCGGAAAGGCCCAGUAACCAAACGACCCGAAUCCCAUGAUCUUCGGAUUCCCAACGAGGAGUGCUUUGCAGUGCACUUCCGCACCUUUAAGAUGUGUUUCGUUGUAAGACGUUGGUCUUGGAUGAAUUAUUUUCAAGAAACUUUUACCAGCUGAACCAGUAGUAUCGACGUUUUGUGCAUUACUUACUGCCGAUGAUGUCU
rnacentral:misc_RNA from 1 species